GACAGAGGGUGCGAACGUUGCUCGGAAUUACUGGGCGUAAAGCGCGUGUAGGCGGGCGCUCAAGUCAGGUGUGAAAUCCCUGGGCUCAACCCAGGAACUGCAUCUGAAACUGGGUGCCUUGAGUGUCGGAGAGGGAAGCGGAAUUCUCGGUGUAGAGGUGAAAUUCGUAGAUAUCGGGAGGAACACCGGUGGCGAAGGCGGCUUCCUGGACGAUUACUGACGCUGAGACGCGAAAGCGUGGGGAGCAAACAGG
rnacentral:rRNA from 1 species